rnacentral:misc_RNA from 1 species
GAUCAUUACUGAUUUGCUUAAUUGCACCACAUGUGUUUUUCUUUGAAACAAACUUGCUUUGGCGGUGGGCCCAGCCUGCCGCCAGAGGUCUAAACUUACAACCAAUUUUUUAUCAACUUGUCACACCAGAUUAUUACUAAUAGUCAAAACUUUCAACAACGGAUCUCUUGGUUCUCGCAUCGAUGAAGAACGCAGCGAAAUGCGAUACGUAAUAUGAAUUGCAGAUAUUCGUGAAUCAUCGAAUCUUUGAACGCACAUUGCGCCCUCUGGUAUUCCGGAGGGCAUGCCUGUUUGAGCGUCGUUUCUCCCUCAAACCGCUGGGUUUGGUGUUGAGCAAUACGACUUGGGUUUGCUUGAAAGACGGUAGUGGUAAGGCGGGAUCGCUUUGACAAUGGCUUAGGUCUAACCAAAAACAUUGCUUGCGGCGGUAACGUCCACCACGUAUAUCUUCAAACUU